rnacentral:snRNA from 1 species
GUGUUUGCUUCAGCAGCACAUAUACUAGAAUCAGAAUGAUACAGAGAAGAUUAGCAUGGCCCUUGUGCAAGGAUGACAUGCACAUUCAUGAAGUGUUCCAUAUUUUU